rnacentral:lncRNA from 1 species
GGAUGAACAGUGACCGAUUUGCCGUCCCAAAAGACAAGCACUUGGUACAACGAGGAAGGAAUACAGCUGGUUUGAUGAAUCCAAUCUCGGCCGAGCAGUGCAUUAUACUCGGUUUUGGAAUCAACCACGAAAAAGGCGGUCAUAUGGGUGCGACCGGCAAUAUUCACAGUUAACGGAAGCACACCUUUAGUGUGGGACUUGUCGCCGACAAAACUGCUCAUUGUGAUCCCCGACGGAAUAAGUUCGUCAUUUGAACGGCGCAAGGCCUUCAUGAUGUUCAGGGGCAUGAUAUUGACAGUAGCUCCACAAUCGACGAAAACUUUAGAAACCGGAUAUCCCUCGAUGUGUGCCGUUACAUACAAUGG